rnacentral:rRNA from 1 species
CGCCUCUUGCUUUUCAUAAGAGGUCCAGCCUGCCCGGUGACUCUGUUAAACGGCCGCGGUACCCUGACCGUGCAAAGGUAGCGUAAUCACUUGUCUCUUAAUUGGGGACUAGUAUGAAUGGCAUCACGAAGGCCAUACUGUCUCCUUUCUCCAAUCAGUGAAACUAAUCUCCUCGUGAAAAAGCGAGAAUAUUGCCAUAAGACGAGAAGACCCUAUGGAGCUUUAAACAAUACAGCAAUUACCUAAAAAAAUUAUAAUUUAUGAAAAUUAACCAGAAUCGAGGUAUAGUGACUGUUAGUUUUUGGUUGGGGCAACCGUGGAGUAAAAAACAACCUCCAUGUUGUACAGGGAACUUCCCUUAAGAAAAAAACCUACAAUUUUAUUCAUCAAUAAAUUGACAUUAAUUGACCCAAUAUUUGAUCAACGAACCCAGUUACCCUAGGGAUAACAGCGCAAUCCACUUUGAGAGUCCUUAUUGACAAGUGGGUUUACGACCUCGAUGUUGGAUCAGGGUAUCCCAGUAGUGCAGCCGCUACUAAAGGUUCGUUUGUUCAACGAUUAAUACCCU